rnacentral:rRNA from 1 species
UAGGGAAUCUUCCGCAAUGGGCGCAAGCCUGACGGAGCAACGCCGCGUGAGUGAUGAAGGUCUUCGGAUUGUAAAACUCUGUUAUUAGGGAAGAACAAACGUGUAAGUAACUGUGCACGUCUUGACGGUACCUAAUCAGAAAGCCACGGCUAACUACGUGCCAGCAGCCGCGGUAAUACGUAGGUGGCAAGCGUUAUCCGGAAUUAUUGGGCGUAAAGCGCGCGUAGGCGGUUUUUUAAGUCUGAUGUGAAAGCCCACGGCUCAACCGUGGAGGGUCAUUGGAAACUGGAAAACUUGAGUGCAGAAGAGGAAAGUGGAAUUCCAUGUGUAGCGGUGAAAUGCGCAGAGAUAUGGAGGAACACCAGUGGCGAAGGCGACUUUCUGGUCUGUAACUGACGCUGAUGUGCGAAAGCGUGGGGAUCAAACA